CAGGGAUUGCCCUAGUAACGGCGAGUGAAGCGGCAACAGCUCAAAUUUGAAAUCUGGCUCUUUCAGAGUCCGAGUUGUAAUUUGCAGAGGGCGCUUUGGCUUUGGCAGCGGUCCAAGUUCCUUGGAACAGGACGUCACAGAGGGUGAGAAUCCCGUACGUGGUCGCUAGCUAUUGCCGUGUAAAGCCCCUUCGACGAGUCGAGUUGUUUGGGAAUGCAGCUCUAAAUGGGAGGUAAAUUUCUUCUAAAGCUAAAUAUUGGCCAGAGACCGAUAGCGCACAAGUAGAGUGAUCGAAAGAUGAAAAGCACUUUGGAAAGAGAGUCAAACAGCACGUGAAAUUGUUGAAAGGGAAGCGCUUGCAGCCAGACUUGCUUGCAGUUGCUCAUCCGGGCUUUUGCCCGGUGCACUCUUCUGUAGGCAGGCCAGCAUCAGUUUGGGCGGUGGGAUAAAGGUCUCUGUCACGUACCUCUCUUCGGGGAGGCCUUAUAGGGGAGACGACAUACCACCAGCCUAGACUGAGGUCCGCGCAUCUGCUAGGAUGCUGGCGUAAUGGCUGUAAGCGGCCCGUCUUGAAACACGGACCAAGGAGUCUAACAUCUAUGCGAGUGUUUGGGUGUCAAGCCCGAGCGCGUAAUGAAAGUGAACGGAGGUGGGAACCCGCAAGGGUGCACCAUCGACCGAUCCUGAAGUUUACGGAAGGAUUUGAGUAAGAGCAUGGCUGUUGGGACCCGAAAGAUGGUGAACUAUGCUUGAAUAGGGUGAAGCCAGAGGAAACUCUGGUGGAGGCUCGCAGCGGUUCUGACGUGCAAAUCGAUCGUCAAAUUUGGGCAUAGGGGCGAAAGACUAAU
rnacentral:rRNA from 1 species